UACAGAGGGUGCAAGCGUUGCUCGGGUUUACUGGGCGUAAAGCGUACGCAGACGGCCACGCAGGUCGGGUGUGAAAGCCCCGGGCUCAACCCGGGAAUUGCAUUCGAAACCAUGUGGCUCGAGUGUGGGAGAGGGUAGUGGAAUUCCUGGUGUAGAGGUGAAAUUCGUAGAUAUCAGGAGGAACAUCGGCGGCGAAGGCGGCUACCUGGUCCACAACUGACGUUCAGGUACGAAAGCGUGGGGAGCAAACAGG
rnacentral:rRNA from 1 species